UUCAAGACCUCAAUGUGGAUAGUGAGGUUUACAAUAAUAUAAAUGUCAGUUACUGACUAACAUCGUUAAUCAAUUAGAUCACGGACAUGGCAUAUGAAUUUGAGGCAGUUUACAAAGGAUCAGACACAACCCAUGACUAUCCUUGUGGAAUUUGUGAUGAGAAUAGGAUAAACAAUGAGGCUGAUUUCUACUGUGAAAAAAGUUUUUCUGUAACUAUUGUUUGAAUCACCAUAAUAACAUGUACAAAAAACACAUCUUGUUUGGAAGAGAAAACUCUACAAAGUGGCCGACUACCAAGAGAACAGACUAUGCAUUAAAGAAAUGUCAAUAUCACAAGAGUGAGACAUUGCAGCUGUUAUAUGAAGACCAUGAUCAGUUGCUGUGCACAGUUUGCCACGUGUACAGCCAUCAGCAAGUAAUUAAUGUACAGCAAUGUCUAUCUUCUUUAUUCAGCAAGAUUCCACUUCAAACUCUUACAAGUGUUGAUGAACAAUGCCGCCAUGUGAAACUGAUAUCUGAUACUGUGCCAUCACUCAAACAUAAAGCAGAUGUUGAGAAGUUGACAGCAAAACUUGACACUUUACAUGGGGAGUUGGCACACAAGAAGCAAGACGUAGUGGAAAGUAUACAGUCACUCGAGAAAUCCUACAAGAAAAUUUGGGCAAAAAAGCGCAAAUUAAAAGAGGAAAUCAAUGAAUAUUUUGAUACACUGGAAAGUAAUACUGUCACAGAGUUAGACGCUUUACUUUCGGCUGAAGGACAUCUUUUCAGGAUGAUAUCCUGGUCUGUAAACAGGUUAUUGAGGACAUGAAUGAUACACACCAUAAUAUGCAACGAAUAACCAGCAAGAGCGAUACCUUACAAUAAGUCACGUGCAAAGAUUGCCACAAGUAUUUGUUAAAGGCAAAAUCAAUUCUACAAGGAAUGCCUGCAAAGAAGGAGGUUGAAAUAGAGUUACAACCUGAUGCUCGUUUCACAGAGACUCUAUCCACUCUUCUAGGAUUAGGAAAAGUAUGCCAAGUAAGUAAAUCAUCAACUGAGACUAGCUUAAAAACUCACUCAGAAGUAUAUUUCCCAGUAAACUGCUCAUCUCAAUACGCUGCCAUUGAAAUCCUAAGUGAUGUGAACAACACACAAUCAAUUUCAAUCAGCCAGUCUACCGACGAUAACAAAACAAGUGAUGUAAACAGGCCAAAACUGGUGCUUAAUCCAGAAUCCAGUUCUACCAGUCACCUUAACCAUGGAAGCAAAACAUGUGAUGUUACCAAGCCAAAACUGGUGUUUAACCCAGAAUCAAGUUCUACUCGUAACAUUGACCAUCACAGCAAAACAAGUGAUGUGACCAAGCCAAAACUGGUGUUCAAUCCAGAAUCAAGUUCUACCCGUCACCUUGACCAUGAUAGCAGAACAAGUGAUGUUACCAAACCAAAAAUGGUGUCCAAUCAAGAACUACGUUCUUUCUGUUACCUAGACCAUGAUAGCAGAACAAGUGAUGUGACCGAGCAAAAACUGGAACUCAUAUCUGCAUCAAGUUUAACUAGUCAGCUUGACCGUUCAAGCCUUACAAGUGAUGUGAACAAGCCAACCGUACAGUCUGAUCAAAACUACAUCACGCUUGAGGGACUAACAACAGAGUAUUCAGUUACAAUGAAAAAUGAUUUAUACCUAUCCAUUAUAACAGGAAUCUGCGAGACAGCUUCCGGGUAAUUCCGGACAAGAAGGUAAAGCUGCUGGAUUAGUGCUACAGCGUGGUGGCCCACUGCGAAUUGCCUGAUAGGCCAUUAUCCAUAUGCACAAUUGACUUCAGGCUGGCGGCUGUUGCUGUGAAUGCUUCAAGCAAGUCCAUUACGAAAAAUACACAGUCAUGGCAUGUGCAGUCAGUCCAAAUGGAGACAGGAUAUAUUUGACAAAUGAGCACAGUAACCAGCUGAUCACACUGUCCACUAUCCACUGCACAGUGAUCUCCAAACUGGAUUUAAAUGUGCUGAAGACGAGUUCUGAAUUAGCCCAACCUGCCCAUCAUGGCCUCCAUGUAACAGACAUGGGGAACGUCCCGAUGUGUGGGAGCGUGUCUCCGAAUUCAAUUGUCCAGGUGGACAAACAUGGGAUAGAGGUACUGGCAACUGUUCUGACUGAAGAAGAUGGAGUCAAAAGUCCGACAUCUGUCUACUACAGUCAACAAACUGGCUCACUGAUUGUGGAAAUGUGAAACAAGGGCAGCAUUCAUGUGUUUAACAUGAAGUAUUUAAAUAUUUGAAAUGGCAAUUUAUUCUACAAUAUUUAAAUGGCAUAAAACUUGAUCUAAAAUGUCAAACAUAUUUUUACAUUUUUGUAAGUCAAACUAUAUGAUUUCACCUGUACCACAACCACUGCAAACUGUAGAGCUUGUACAUUAAGCAUUUACCGUGUUUUUCAACAAUAGACACAACUGUGAUUAUAUCUAAAUUGUCAAUUUUUCAUAUCUUAAGUAUGAUAUAUAGGGAAACACAUACAUGGUGAGCACAAAUAUACAUGAUCAUGAAAAGAAAUCAUAUACUUUUCUUACGUUAGGGAUAGCUAGUCUCAUAAUUAAAGCGAAUAGUGUAUUUGUCUAUGUGAUUAAUUGCCUUUGCAUUAUAUGUGUUCUUUAGCAGUUUGUUUACCUUUGACUUAUGUCUAAUGGUGUCUAUGGUUGCACUGGCACAAUGUGGGUUUAAUAAUUAGGAACAUGUACGGUCCUCAGCUAGGGAUGGCUCUAGGAUAGGAUGGAACAGCAGCACUGAAAUCACAAAAAUCUUGUAUGGAUGUAUAGGUUGCUGAAAAUAUUGGUGUUGAAUGCCCAUCAUGAUAUGUAUCAGUAGGCUUUUGUAUGUAUUAUGUAGAGAAUAUUUGAUGGUUUCAGUAUAUUAUCAAAUUAAAUUGAUGAGCGAUCAGAGAAUAAAUAUUUUCAUACGUGGCGCAGCCACAAGGUAAAAUAUGUACAUGUAUUUUUUAUGAUGACUAGUAAAUAAAAAUCGACAUUCUACACACACACACACACACACACACACAAAACUAAUUUCCUUUUUUUUAAAUUAAUGCUUCUGAAAUGUUUAUUUACAUUUAAAAAGGAAUUAUCUGGAAAUGUUCGAUGGAAUAAUGACGUUAUGACGUCAAAAUAACAACAUCAUUUCACAGUAAACAGUUAAAUUUAUUGAAAACAUUCACUGUUAUAUUUCACUGUUUGCAAAUCACUGAGAUUUGCCUAUAAACCAGAGAAAACCAUUAAAUAUGUUUCGUGUGUACAUGAUUGCUAGAUUGCUUUAAAUUUAGGUUAAUGUAUUGCAGUUUAUAACACAUAAAUAUGCUUUUGUAAAAAUGUGUAUCAAUAUAGAGCGUGAAUUGUCUUUGUUAAAUCGUAUUAAAGAGAUAUGCAUAAAGAUUUCCGUUACUUUUGAGCAUUCUUUGCUCAUGUUUUGCAACCAUGUAUCUUUAUUCUGAAGAUGUGCUCAAUGAUUAAAAUGCGUGCACUGGAAUCAAAACACAUUCUUGCAAUAAUGGAGAACAUUGAAUGCUGUAAAUAUUGGCGGACAUGUCCAAAAGAUAUAUUACAGUGUAACCGAAGCAAGACGAUGAGAUUGUAUUUUAUCUAGCUGAAAAAACAUCUAUUCAUGAUUUUGUUUUUCAUUUAGUUUUUGGAGAACAAAAGUCGCAUUCCGUAUCACAUAUAAAUAUCUGAACGGUACUACAAUCGGUAGUUUGUAUCAGACGUGUUUUUCCAAAUAUGUUAAGUUCCGGAUUGCAACUAUUGUUGAGAGAUUUUUUAAACUUAAACAUUAUUAGUUGAUCAAUUUCAUGAACUCACUAAAAUUGU